UUGAGGGCAGCAUAUUAGUGAGCCGCACAGCUGAUCCAUCAGCGUGAGCUCUGCCAGAGGAAUCAUUCCUCGGUAUACUGAGGCAACAGCAGGUCAUAGCAUCUGGACUCAAUAGAUUUUUCGGGCAAUUUAUCUGCCUAAUUUCUGGCAGUUAUCACUGCAACUCGAACCAGUACUGACAGAAAUUUCUUGGGCUGAUCCAUAUUAAUCUCUUUUGAGACUACUUCAUCACCGAAUCUUCCCAUUAUUCUGAUCAUUAUUUUGAACCAGGUAAUAAUUAUCCUUUAUACACACUUUUUUCUACAGAUGUUUAUUCAUCACAAUUUUGUUUU